AAAUAGGACCUCUUCCGACGAAAUUCACCUCUGCCGACGAACAUUCGUCGGGAGAGAUCUAAUCCUGCAAAUUUCGCCGGGAUAGACCUGUGCCGAAGAGUAGUCAUCGGGAUAGGUUUAAAAAAUUGGCCUAGGCGGCCUGGGCGGGUCAGGGUGGCGCUAGGAGGGUCUCGGCUGCACUAGGAAGGUCUAGGCGCGCUAGGCGGGUCUAGGCGGCGCUAAGUGGCGCUAGGCGGGUCUGGGUGCCAGGGUGGGUCUGGUUCUUUAGGGUUUAGGGUCUGUGUGCCAGGGUGGGUCUGUCGCAUUUUUCCCAGGUACCUGUACCAUUUUCUUCAUUGAAGCCGAUAUUUCGAGCAAGAACUGUAUCAGAUGCACCGCCUUUUGACCCCAGCAAUAUUGUGUCAUUGCAGACACAUUUCUGCAGCCACUUUCUUUUAGUCUAUUUCUUUCACUUCAUUUUCUUUUAGUCUAUUGAUGGGAUUCAAAAUUAUGGCAGCUCAUGUUUAGCAAGUUUAAACUUCUUUGGAAAUUGGGUCUGCAGAUUUUUCUUCCUUCUCUUCUUCCCUCUAUAAAUUAAAGUGGCUUUGCUUCUGCUGAGCCACAGGCUGUUUCUGGGUUCUGCAGAUUGUCCUUCUUUGACUUCUGGGAUUCUACUCAUCAAUGGAUGACAUUUUCACCCGUCUAUUGACACUGGCUAGUUAUAUAAGGCGUCGAUUUAUUCAAUUUAUAGAGGAUCUUGCAGUCAGAGAUGCUGAGAGAUACUCAGAUGAUUUGCUGGUCAUUUCUGCUGGACAGCAUUUAAGAUCAUUGAGACACGGCAUUUGUAAAUCAUUUGCUGAAGGUUGUUCAUCAUCUUCAAAACCUUGUAACCCUGAAACCUGUGAAAGAAGAUCCUCAGAGCCUACGGAAGAUACAAGAUCUGAAAUUGUAGAAACCAAUUUCAAUUAUACAGAUGUCCCCUUCAUUUUUAAAGGGUUGACACUACCAUUACACGGUUUACAAUUUGCUUGGAGAUUGGCAAUUUCGUGUUGGAGAAGUUCUGUCGUGUACGUUAGAUGUGCUCAUCUUCGAAUUUGUAGCCUGGCAUCUCGAGUACAGAAAACAUUGCAAGGUUCAUCUGACAAUAUUGGAUGGUUGCCGCGCACUCCUGGCAUGCCUGGUGUGGUGGAUGGUACAGCAAGAUUCUUGGAAUUGCUUGCAGGAAUAAGGAAUGGGGAGCACACAUUGCCUAGCUCAUUUGUCUAUCUGCUUAUUCCGGGCCUCUUUAGCAAUCACGGCCCCUUAUACUUUGUUGGAACAAAGAAAUUCUUUUUGAAGAUGGGUCUAGCUUGCCAUAUUGCAAAAAUUCACAGUGAGGCAUCUGUUGAGCACAAUGCAUCGGUAACUCAAGCAGUACAUUGAGGAGCUUUAAUGGGGAUCCAGUAAGCGUGUGAUGCUGCUGGGGCACAGCAAGGGCGGCGUUGAUGCUGCAGCUGCAUUGUCAAUCUACUGGUGUGAUUUGAAAGACAAAGUUGCUGGUUUAGCACUGGUCCAGAGCCCCUACGGUAGCACGCCCUUGGCUUCUGAUAUUCUUCGUGAAGGCCAGAUUGCAGACAAAGAAACCCGCAGGAUCAUGGAACUUUUGAUAUGCAAGCUAAUUAAGGGUGACAUUCAGGCACUGGAGGAUCUUACUUAUGAGAAGCGAAAGGAGUUCAUCAUGAAGCACAAGCUGCCAUAUGAGCAAAUUCCUCUGGUUUCCUUCCACUCUGAGGCAAGCAUAGCCCCUGAUAUGUUUGCCACAAUGACACAUAUAGCACAUGCCGAACUUCCCUGGCUGCCCCUACCAAAUUUUGGAACUCAGGAAGAGUCAGAUGAAAUCGUUCAAGCAGGACGCCAGCUGCCUGUAGUGAUUCCUUUAUCUGCUGCAAUGGCUGUGACUGCACUUCAUCUACAACGCAGGUACGGGGAGAAGAGUGACAGAUUGGUGACGUGCCGUGACGCUCAAGUUCCAGGUUCGGUUGUGGUCGCACCGGACAGGAAGCUUGACCAUGCCUGGAUGGUUUAUUCCACAAGGAAAAAGAAUCCUAGUGAUGCUGAUGCCUCAGAAAUGUGAGAGGCCAUUUUAACUCUGCUUGUAGAGCUUGGAAAGUUAAGAGGGAAAAAGCUAGGAAAUUAAUCCAUCCAUCAUACAAUUUGUUUGCUUCCCAUUUGUUUAAUUUGGUUUGUUAAACAAAAUAUUCAAAAGCGAUCAAUUGCAGAAUCUCAUUCGAAUGGAA